rnacentral:rRNA from 1 species
UACGGAGGGGGCUAGCGUUGUUCGGAAUUACUGGGCGUAAAGCGCACGUAGGCGGCUUUGUAAGUUAGAGGUGAAAGCCUGGAGCUCAACUUCAGAAUAGCCUUUAAGACUGCAUCGCUUGAAUCCGGGAGAGGUGAGUGGAAUUCCGAGUGUAGAGGUGAAAUUCGUAGAUAUUCGGAAGAACACCAGUGGCGAAGGCGGCUCACUGGACCGGCAUUGACGCUGAGGUGCGAAAGCGUGGGGAGCAAACAGG